AGGAGGGAGCGUGUGCCGCUGUGGGCACUGUGUCCUCUGAGUUCCGGAGCUGGACCAGAGAGGAUGUGCUGUCUUAUUUAAAGGUGAUGUGUGACAAGAACCUGGUGUGGGAUAGAUGUUUGUGUGGAAUCCGUGGAGAGAAGAAAUUCAGGUGCAGCCUCGUGACAGUUGUCUGGAGAAGUUUCUUGGAAAUUUAUGAGACUUUCAAAACACAAACUGCUCGGAGCCGAGCCGACCUGCUGGAGACUGGGAGAAUCAGAGGCAGGUCUGACCUGGAGCCCAACAACAUGACGACCCCGGUCCUUGCACAUGGAGUGGCUCCUGCCAGUGGGGCUCACCAGCAGCACUGACCUUCCAGGUUGCCCCCAGGUUAGCAGGAGCAGGUUGCUCCAAAAGAUAAAUGUCCCUCUCAGGCUGGGGAUUUAGCUCAGUGGUUCCGCCACCUGCCUCGCAAGUGGAAGGUCCGGAGUUCGAUCCCCAGUACCAAAAAAAAAAAGAAAAGUGUUCCUCUCCUCCUGGGAAGAAGGGAGGUCAGAGACCAUAAUUAGAAUAACAAUGCAUGCUCCUUUCUUCCUUGUUUCCUUCUACAGUUCUGUAUUUGAGCAGACCCCUCCCCAAAGCCCUAUCAAGCUAUCUGUAAAGAAAUUGAUUAAACAGUUUAAGAGCUGGC
rnacentral:lncRNA from 1 species